UACGAAGGGGGCUAGCGUUGCUCGGAAUCACUGGGCGUAAAGCGCACGUAGGCGGCUUUUUAAGUCAGGGGUGAAAUCCUGGAGCUCAACUCCAGAACUGCCUUUGAUACUGAGAAGCUUGAGUCCGGGAGAGGUGAGUGGAAUUCCCAGUGUAGCGGUGAAAUGCGUAGAUAUUGGGAGGAACACCAGUGGCGAAGGCGGCUCACUGGACCGGUACUGACGCUGAUGCGCGAAAGCGUGGGGAGCAAACAGGG
rnacentral:rRNA from 1 species